ACACUGACGUCGCGACGCAUAUCAAUAAGCGGAGGAAAAGAAACUAACUAGGAUUCCCUCAGUAACGGCGAGUGAAGCGGGAAGAGCUCAAAUUUGAAAUCUUCAAGGUUCUACCUUGACGAAUUGUAGUUUGAAGAAGUGUUUUCUGUUAGUGGAGUUUGGUAAAAGUUCUUUGGAAUAGGACAUCAUAGAGGGUGAGAAUCCCGUAUUUGGUCAUUCCUUCUAGCUUUGUGAUACACUUUCAAAGAGUCGGAUUGUUUGGGAAUGCAGUCCAAAAUGGGUGGUAAAUUUCAUCUAAAGCUAAAUAUUGGCGAGAGACCGAUAGCGAACAAGUACCGUGAGGGAAAGAUGAAAAGAACUUUGAAAAGAGAGUUAAACAGUACGUGAAAUUGUCAAAAGGGAAGCGUUUGACACCAGUGUUGUUUUUCCGAAAAUCAAUUAUAAAUGUUUUGUUUCUGAGGAGUGAUGACUUCAUCGGCUUCCUUCUCUCUUCACGAAACUUUUGUAAUGCACUUUUCGGUUAACAAGUCAACAUCAAUUUCUUUUGUUGUAAAAGAGGUCAUUCGGAAGGUGGCUUUCUCUUCGGAGAAAGUGUUUAUAGUCCUAUACUUCUACAAUCGGAGAGAUUGAGGUCUGCAGCGUAGAUCCUUCGGGGUUAGAUACACUUGUGCUAAGUUAUAGCUUUUCAUAGACAACUUGUUGACUAUGUUUAGUCUUGUAGCUUACUCGCUUGUGCUAUUUUACCUACGCUUAGGAUGUUGAGUCGUAGAGCACGCAG
rnacentral:rRNA from 1 species